rnacentral:rRNA from 1 species
GACACUGAGGAACGAAAGCAUGGGUAGCGAAGAGGAUUAGAUACCCUCGUAGUCCAUGCCGUAAACGAUGUGUGUUAGACGUUGGAAAUUUAUUUUCAGUGUCGCAGCGAAAGCGAUAAACACACCGCCUGGGGAGUACGACCGCAAGGUUAAAACUCAAAUGAAUUGACGGGGACCCGCACAAGUAGUGGAGCAUGUGGUUUAAUUCGAAGAUACGCGCAGAACCUUACCAACACUUGACAUGUUCGUCGCGACUUUAAGAGAUUAAAGUUUUCGGUUCGGCCGGACGAAACACAGGUGCUGCAUGGCUGUCGUCAGCUCGUGUCGUGAGAUGUUGGGUUAAGUCCCGCAACGAGCGCAACCCUCACUUUUAGUUGCCAUCAUUAAGUUGGGCACUCUGAAAGAACUGCCAGUGAUAAGCUGGAGGAAGGUGGGGAUGACGUCAAGUCCUCAUGGCCCUUACGUGUUGGGCUACACACGUGCUACAAUGGUAUCUACAACAGGAAGCAAAACAGCGAUGUUAAGCAAAUCCUUAAAAGAUACCUCAGUUCGGAUUGCACUCUGCAACUCGAGUGCAUGAAGCUGGAAUUACUAGUAAUCGUGGAUCAGCGUGCCACGGUGAAUGCGUUCCCGGGUCUUGUACACACCGCCCGUCACACCAUGGGAGUUGGUUCUACCUUAAGGCAAGGCUUUAAACCCUUGACCACGGUAUAGUCAGCGACUGGGGUGAAGUCGUAACAAGGUAACCGUA